rnacentral:ncRNA from 1 species
GGUCAAGUGAAGAAGCGCAUACGGUGGAUGCCUUGGCAGUCAGAGGCGAUGAAAGACGUGGUAGCCUGCGAAAAGCUUUGGGGAGUCGGCAAACAGACUGUGAUCCAGAGAUCUCUGAAUGGGGGAACCCACCCGGCACAAGCCGGGUAUCUUGUACUGAAUCCAUAGGUGCAAGAGGCGAACCAGGGGAACUGAAACAUCUAAGUACCCUGAGGAAAAGAAAUCAACCGAGAUUCCCUAAGUAGUGGCGAGCGAACGGGGACUAGCCCUUAAGUUGAUUUGAGUGUAGUGGAAGGCUCUGGAAAGUGCCGCCGUAGUGGGUGAUAGCCCCGUACACGAAACGCUCUUAUCAAUGAAAUCGAGUAGGACGGGGCACGAGAAACCUUGUCUGAACAUGGGGGGACCAUCCUCCAAGGCUAAAUACUACUGACUGACCGAUAGUGAACCAGUACCGUGAGGGAAAGGCGAAAAGAACCCCGGAGAGGGGAGUGAAAUAGAUCCUGAAACCGUAUGCGUACAAGCAGUGGGAGCCUACUUUGUUGGGUGACUGCGUACCUUUUGUAUAAUGGGUCAGCGACUUAUAUUCAGUGGCGAGCUUAACCGAAUAGGGGAGGCGUAGCGAAAGCGAGUCUUAAUAGGGCGCUUUAGUCGCUGGGUAUAGACCCGAAACCGGGCGAUCUAUCCAUGGGCAGGUUGAAGGUUAGGUAACACUGACUGGAGGACCGAACCGACUACCGUUGAAAAGUUAGCGGAUGACCUGUGGAUCGGAGUGAAAGGCUAAUCAAGCUCGGAGAUAGCUGGUUCUCCUCGAAAGCUAUUUAGGUAGCGCCUCGUGUAUCACUGCUGGGGGUAGAGCACUGUUUCGGCUAGGGGGUCAUCCCGACUUACCAAACCGAUGCAAACUCCGAAUACCAGCAAGUGUCAGCACGGGAGACACACGGCGGGUGCUAACGUCCGUCGUGAAAAGGGAAACAACCCAGACCGUCAGCUAAGGUCCCAAAGUUAUGGUUAAGUGGGAAACGAUGUGGGAAGGCUUAGACAGCUAGGAGGUUGGCUUAGAAGCAGCCAUCCUUUAAAGAAAGCGUAAUAGCUCACUAGUCGAGUCGGCCUGCGCGGAAGAUGUAACGGGGCUCAAAC